GCGCUUCGGCAGCACAUAUACUAAAAUUGGAAUGAUACAGAGAAGAUUAGCAUGGCCCCUGCGCAUGUGGAAUAAACUAUAGAUAAAUAAUAUUUUCAAAAUUAU